AACGAACGCUGGCGGCAGGCCUAACACAUGCAAGUCGAACGCACCUUCGGGUGAGUGGCGCACGGGUGAGUAACACGUGGGAAUGUAUCCUUUGGUUCGGAAUAACGUCUGGAAACGGACGCUAAUACCGGAUGAGCCCUGCGGGGGAAAAAUUUAUCGCCAAAGGAGCAGCCCGCGUCUGAUUAGGUAGUUGGUAGGGUAAUGGCCUACCAAGCCGACGAUCAGUAGCUGGUCUGAGAGGAUGAUCAGCCACACUGGGACUGAGACACGGCCCAGACUCCUACGGGAGGCAGCAGUGGGGAAUAUUGGACAAUGGGCGCAAGCCUGAUCCAGCCAUGCCGCGUGAGUGAUGAAGGCCUUCGGGUUGUAAAGCUCUUUCGCACGCGACGAUGAUGACGGUAGCGUGAGAAGAAGCCCCGGCUAACUUCGUGCCAGCCGCCGCCGUAAAAC
rnacentral:rRNA from 1 species